CUGAGGCUGUAGGAACCUAUAUAACCUUCUAGCAAAGUUUAGAAACUAGUAGAUCAUUGUAAUAUACCUAAAUUUAUCAGAAACAUUAUUUCAAAUCUUUGUUAUUGUAUCAUAUUUUUGAAAUUAAUGUAAAGAGUGAAAGUUACUCUCAUUUUGAUAAAUUUUAGGACUAUGGUCUCAUAUUUCUAUCACUCAAUAAUGUUGUUCUUCAUGUUGAUGGAAAUAAGUAAUGAAUAUGUGAUGGUCA
rnacentral:lncRNA from 1 species